rnacentral:lncRNA from 1 species
AACAAGUCAAACUUUCUAAUCUAAAAAUGACAACAUGGCAUUUUAAUGGUUUCUUAAAUUAUCUGGACUAAAGGUAACAUUUUGCAUUUUUUUUUCGGGAGACCUAAGGUUUUCAAAAAGCAAAUUUGUUUCACUUGCUUCUUUCUUCUUUAAAAGGAGUGGAGAUGGUGGAGCCCACGGCAUCCCAUCUCUGGUUGUAUGCUUGUUUCUAGGCCAAUCAUGAAGCCCUUGGUCAACUUCAGCCUGGUCCUACAGAUUCCAAAUACAACCAGAUGCAGAGCUGGCUGCAUGGCAACUGAGACCAUGCCGGGACCACCCACCCACCCUCAAGCUAGACAUUCUACUCCUGGUCUUCAUGGAGGCUGUGGUCCAUGUCCAACUUCAUGGCCUACUGGACUCUGUGCCUUCAGUAGGAAGGAGGAGUGACCAGAAGCUGGGGCUAGAGAGAAGAGCAGAGAAAGAAGCCUCACUAUUUUUUCAUUUUUAAGGACUUUUCCUGACAGAUGUCUC